AUUGGAUUUAGAUUUUUUUUUUUUUUUUUUCGCUUGGGACUGAGUCCAAAUACAAAUCAAUUUUGAAGCACCCCAAAAUCUAACCCUCAAAGUUUUGGGGUCAAAUGCACCUCUAAGUGUGUCUACUGAGAUACAGAUGAACUUAGAAGGUUGAGUGAGAGGACAUCGUGUGCUUUGGUGAUGUAUCUGAGCAAUGUGGUGACUGUAGGCGGACAUCCUCGUUGCUUGUGUUGUGGGAAGGAAUAGAUGUCUCGUGCCUGGAAUAAGGAACUCAGGAGAAGAAAACAGUUGUCUGUAGAACCCUGUCAAAGGCAGGCAUCAUGCAGAACUAGAUGUCCAGAGGCUUCAUGUCCAGAGAUUUCAUCUGUUGACAGGCAAGUUACUUCCAUGGGAAGCCUGACUUUUUUGGGUCAGAGAUCUGGUUGUUAGAGCUGCAGACUUCCCACAAACAUGUGCGAGGUCAAGAUGAUCUCUCCUCUGAACAGAGAAAGUAUUGUGAACAUGCCAAACCCUCUAAAAAUCAGACUGUAAUUUUUUGAGUUGGGAAUCCCAAAUUAAAUGACACAUUUGAGAAUGUUCA